rnacentral:rRNA from 1 species
GGGCCCGCACAAGCGGUGGAGUAUGUGGUUUAAUUCGAUGCAACGCGAAGAACCUUACCAGGGUUUGACAUCCUGCGAAUCUCUUGGAAACGAGAGAGUGCCUUCGGGAACGCAGUGACAGGUGGUGCAUGGCUGUCGUCAGCUCGUGUCGUGAGAUGUUGGGUUAAGUCCCGCAACGAGCGCAACCCACGUCUUUAGUUGCCAGCAUUUAGUUGGGCACUCUAGAGAGACUGCCGGUGAUAAACCGGAGGAAGGUGUGGAUGACGUCAAGUCAUCAUGCCCCUUACAUCCUGGGCUACACACGUACUACAAUGGCGCAUACAGAGGGCGGCCAACUUGCGAAAGUGAGCGAAUCCCAAAAAAGUGCGUCGUAGUCCGGAUUGGAGUCUGCAACUCGACUCCAUGAAGUCGGAAUCGCUAGUAAUCG